rnacentral:misc_RNA from 1 species
GAUGAAGAACGCAGCGAAACGCGAUAAGUAAUGUGAAUUGCAGAAUUCAGUGAAUCAUCGAAUCUUUGAACGCACAUUGCGCCCGCCAGCAUUCUGGCGGGCAUGCCUGUUCGAGCGUCAUUUCAACCCUCGAGCCCCCCCGGGGGCCUCGGUGUUGGGGGACGGCACACCAGCCGCCCCCGAAAUGCAGUGGCGACCCCGCCGCAGCCUCCCCUGCGUAGUAGCACACACCUCGCACCGGAGCGCGGAGGCGGUCACGCCGUAAAACGCCCAACUUUCUUAGAGUUGACCUCGGAUCAGGUAGGAAUACCCGCUGAACUUAAGCAUAUCAAUAAGCGGAGGA